CGAGUUCUCAUAUGAUCACUGAAGUUAAGCAACAUCAAGCCUGGUCAGUAACUAGAUGGGUGACCUCUUGGGAAUACCAUUUGCUGUAAG